UUCUAGCCCAGAUAGCAGUGAAAAGCUUUUUGAAAUGACAACUAUUUUUUGUUGGUAGAAAAAAGCGACCAGCGGAAGCUCUUUUUUUACCUUACAAAAAAAGGGAGGCAUGAAAAAACUUGUAACGGAUAGCUGGAUUAGCU
rnacentral:sRNA from 1 species